rnacentral:rRNA from 1 species
UACGGGGGGGGCAAGCGUUGUUCGGAAUUACUGGGCGUAAAGGGCGCGUAGGCGGCCUGCUAAGUCGGACGUGAAAUCCCUCGGCUCAACCGAGGAACUGCGUCCGAUACUGGCGGGCUUGAAUCCGGGAGAGGGAUGUGGAAUUCCAGGUGUAGCGGUGAAAUGCGUAGAUAUCUGGAGGAACACCGGUGGCGAAGGCGCACAUCUGGCCCGAUACUGACGCUGAGGCGCGAAAGCUAGGGGAGCAAACGGG